rnacentral:lncRNA from 1 species
CCUCACAAAAGUAAGGUGUCAUAUUGUGUCCUGUGUUUAGAGUGCAAGUCAGGAUAGUGAUCAAGUGCUGCAACGUAAGGUAUGAUCUCUCCAUUACACUCUAUGAUAUUCUACACUAAUAACCAUGAAAGCAUGUGAAGGCUACAAUGUUGAAACAAUACUCUUUAAUUUUAAGUCAUUCUGUGGUGGUCAGAUCUGAGUUAAAAUCUGCCAAACUUUAUCAUGGGUGAUGCAAUACCCCCAAACUUUUUCUUAAGUUUACUUUUGUCU